rnacentral:rRNA from 1 species
UACGUAGGUGGCAAGCGUUGUCCGGAAUUAUUGGGCGUAAAGCGCGCGCAGGCGGUCCUUUAAGUCUGAUGUGAAAGCCCACGGCUCAACCGUGGAGGGUCAUUGGAAACUGGGGGACUUGAGUGCAGGAGAGAAGAGUGGAAUUCCACGUGUAGCGGUGAAAUGCGUAGAGAUGUGGAGGAACACCAGUGGCGAAGGCGGUCUGCUGGGCCAAGACUGACGCUGAGGCGCGACAGCGUGGGGAGCAAACAGG